rnacentral:lncRNA from 1 species
UACAGAGCUAAGGUUAAAAUGCUGAGAUUUGCUGGACAAAGAUCAGGAAUUAAAUUCAACUCCAUGUUCAUUUCAUUUUACUCAGUCGCAGUUUAGAGAUCCAGGGAGGUCACUGUUAUUUUCUGGAAGUGAAGAAAGUCCUGAGAGAUCAGAAUAUUCACUGUGUCACAGCAUGCUUCUUUCUGUGAAGUUGAGAGGUUGGAUGUUGUCAAGCCAGUGUCAAGAUUUUCUUUAUAUUGGCCAAACAGAAUUUGCAUUGCUGUUGAUUGGAUAUUGAGUCAUAC